GACGAACGCUGGCGGCGUGCUUAACACAUGCAAGUCGAACGGUGAAGGGACCAGCUUGCUGGUUCUGGAUGAGUGGCGAACGGGUGAGUAACACGUGAGUAACCUGCCCCCUUCUUCUGGAUAACCGCAUGAAAGUGUGGCUAAUACGGGAUAUUCUGGGUCUGUCGCAUGGCGGGCCCGGGAAAGAUAUUGCUUCGGUGGGGGAUGGGCUCGCGGCCUAUCAGCUUGUUGGUGGGGUGAUGGCCUACCAAGGCGGUGACGGGUAGCCGGCCUGAGGGGAGGGCGGGUCAGAGGGGGACCGGGAAACGGCCCAGAGUCAUACGGGAGGCAGCAGUGGGGAAUAUUGCAGAAUGGGCGAAAGCCUGAUGCAGCGACGCCGGGUGAGGGAGGGCGGCCUUCGGGUUGAAAACCUCUUGCGCGAGUGAAGCAGGCCUGCUCCUUGUGGGUGGGUUGACGGUAGCUGGAGAAGAAGCGCCGGCUAACUACGUG
rnacentral:rRNA from 1 species